UGGUCAAGUUAUUAAGGGUGCAGGGCGGAUGCCUUGGCACUAGGAGCCGAUGAAGGACGUGAUAAGCUGCGAUAAGCUUCGGGGAGUUGCACGUAAACUUUGAUCCGAAGAUUUCCGAAUGAGGAAACUCACUUAGAGUAAUGUCUAAGUAUCAUUAAGUGAAUACAUAGCUUAAUGAGGGGAACUCAGGGAACUGAAACAUCUAAGUACCUGAAGGAAGAGAAAGAAAUUCGAUUCCGUAAGUAGCGGCGAGCGAACGCGGAUUAGCCCAAACCAAUAAAGUUUUCUUUAUUGGGGUUGCGGACAUAUCAUAACGAAGAGGUAUCGUAAUUGAAGAGGUUUGGAAAGACCCACCACAGAAGGUAAUAGUCCUGUAUGUUAAACGAGAAGACUUUAGAUAUGAUCCAGAGUACCACGGGACACGUGAAACCCUGUGGGAAGCAGGAGGGACCACCCUCCAAGGCUAAAUACUACCUAGUGACCGAUAGCGUAUAGUACCGUGAGGGAAAGGUGAAAAGAACCCCGGGAGGGGAGUGAAAUAGAACCUGAAACCCUGCACUUACAAGCUGUGGAAGCACAUUUCUUGUGUGACCGCGUACUUUUUGUAGAACGGGCCAACGAGUUACGUUAAGUAGCAAGGUUAAGCACUUAAGGUGUGGAGCCGUAGCGAAAGCGAGUUUUAACUGAGCGUUCAGUUACUUGACGUAGACCCGAAACCGGGCGACCUACCCAUGAGCAGGAUGAAGCGAAAGUAAAAUUUCGUGGAGGUCCGAACCCACGAGCGUUGAAAAGCUCGGGGAUGACUUGUGGGUAGCGGUGAAAUUCCAAUCGAGCCCGGAGAUAGCUGGUUCUCCCCGAAAUAGCUUUAGGGCUAGCCUCAAGGUGAGAGAUACGGAGGUAGAGCACUGAAUGUCCUAGGGGGUAUUGCACCUACCGAAGACUAUCAAACUCCGAAUGCCGUCAUCUUAUACUUGGGAGUCAGACUGUGGGUGAUAAGAUUCAUAGUCGAAAGGGCAACAGCCCAGAUCGUCAGCUAAGGUCCCUAAAUGUAAGUUAAGUGGUAAAGGAUGUGGGAUUGCACAGACAACCAGGAUGUUGGCUUAGAAGCAGCCACUCAUUCAAAGAGUGCGUAAUAGCUCACUGGUCGAGUGAUCCUGCGCCGAAGAUUUCCGGGGCUAAAACUUACUACCGAAGCUACGGCAUCAUUAUGAUGGGUAGGGGAGCUUCCCAUACGGGUUGAAGCAUGACCGUAAGGACAUGUGGACAGUAUGGGAGUGAGAAUGUUGGCAUGAGUAGCGAGAUGUGGGUGAGAAUCCCACAGGCCGUAAACCCAAGGUUUCCAGGGGAAGGUUCGUCCGCCCUGGGUUAGUCGGGACCUAAGCUGAGGCCGAAAGGCGUAGGUGAUGGACAACAGGUUGAUAUUCCUGUACUACCGAUAACCGUUUGAGAGAUGGGAUGACACAGUAGGAUAAGCUAAGCACACUGUUGGUUAUGUGUGCCCAAGCAUUGAGGCAGUCAAAGUAGGCAAAUCCGCUUUGAUAAUGCUGGGAUGUGAUGGGUAGCGAAAUUUAGUAGCGAAGUAGCUGAUUUCACACUGUCAAGAAAAGUCUCUAUCGAGGUUAAAGGUACCCGUACCGCAAACCGACACAGGUGGGUGAGGAGAGUAUCCUAAGGCCAGCGAGAGAACUGUUGUUAAGGAACUCGGCAAAAUGACCCCGUAACUUAGGGAUAAGGGGUGCCACCAUCAGGUGGCCGCAGAGAAUAGGCCCAAGCGACUGUUUACCAAAAACAUAGGUUUCUGCUAAGUCGCAAGACGAUGUAUAGGAGCUGACGCCUGCCCGGUGCUGGAAGGUUAAGGGGAUCUGUUAGAGCAAUCGAGCAGUGAACUUAAGCCCCAGUAAACGGCGGCCGUAACUAUAACGGUCCUAAGGUAGCGAAAUUCCUUGUCGGGUAAGUUCCGACCCGCACGAAAGGCGUAACGAUUUGGGCACUGUCUCAACAACAGACUCGGUGAAAUUGUAAUUCCGGUGAAGAUGCCGGAUACCUGCGACAGGACGGAAAGACCCCAUGGAGCUUUACUGUAGCUUGACAUUGGGUCUUGGUACUACAUGUACAGGAUAGGUGGGAGGCUUUGAAACCAGGACGCCAGUUUUGGCGGAGCCAUCCUUGGGAUACCACCCUUGUAGUACUGGGACUCUAACCAUAGGCCAUGAAUCUGGUCUUGGGACACUGUCAGGUGGGCAGUUUGACUGGGGCGGUCGCCUCCCAAAAGGUAACGGAGGCGCUCAAAGGUUCUCUCAGUACGGUCGGAAAUCGUACGUAGAGUGUAAAGGCAAAAGAGAGCUUGAUUGCAAGACAUACAGGUCGAGCAAGGAUGAAAAUCGGACUUAGUGAUCCGGUGGUUCUGCGUGGAAGGGCCAUCGCUCAACGGAUAAAAGCUACCCUGGGGAUAACAGGCUUAUCUCCCCCAAGAGUCCACAUCGACGGGGAGGUUUGGCACCUCGAUGUCGGCUCAUCACAUCCUGGGGCUGUAGUAGGUCCCAAGGGUUGGGCUGUUCGCCCAUUAAAGUGGUACGCGAGCUGGGUUCAGAACGUCGUGAGACAGUUCGGUCCCUAUCCGUCGCAGGCGUAGGAAAUUUGAGAAGACCUGUCCUUAGUACGAGAGGACCGGGAUGGACGUACCUCUGGUGUACCAGUUGUCCUGCCAAGGGCAUGGCUGGGUAGCUAUGUACGGAAUGGAUAAGCGCUGAAAGCAUCUAAGCGCGAAGCCAACUUCAAGAUAAGAUUUCCCACCGCAAGGGUAAGACCCCAGAAAGACUAUCUGGUUGAUAGGUCGAAGGUGUAAGUGCAGCAAUGUAUUUAGCUUAUCGAUACUAAUAGGUCGAGGACUUGACCAAU
rnacentral:rRNA from 1 species